rnacentral:tRNA from 1 species
GGAAGCUUGGCAGAGUCCGGCUUAUUGCAGUAGUCUUGAAAACUACCAACCCCUAAAAAGGUUCAUCCGUUCAAAUCGGAUAGCUUCCGCCA